GUAACAGCGUACCUCAUCUGCAUAUUUUAUCGUGUUAAAAUUCUUAGGUCUAAGGUAUGGUGGUGGUUAGGGUUGACUUGGUGGGUCUUCAUAUUUUGUAUUAUUGACCCAUCAAUCUCCUUUGAGAGGGGUUUGAGAUAUUAGUUUCAUCCUUUUUAGUGCUAAUUAAUACUGAUUAAUCCUUCUAUCUCCCCAAGCAAUACUUACUUCUGAGAUUAUGGGCAUGGAAGAGGAGUUGAUUUGAAUGUAAAGUGCAAAUGAGUCUCUAAUUAAUUAUAAUUUUUAACUCAUUGAGUCGGUAUAAUUAUAUGAUUCUAGUUAUAUGUUAAAUGCUUGGAAGUGGGAUUUGAUGGGGACAGUUUCAUGGUUUUGAUUGGUGGUUGGUUAUGGAGGAAUUUUGAAAUGGGUAUGAGAGAAGCAGCCUCCUAAAGGCGGUCCUCCAGCAAAACAUUUAAGCCUCAGCAUGAUAAUGGUAUUUCAGACUCAGGUCCUUGGGAUGGUAUCUAUAAAGAGUAAAACAACCUACUCCUUCAGAAAUAGUAAACCUUACUUCUCUCUCAUUUUCUUCUCCUCUAAGAAGAACCGAAUAGAUAAUCUGGUAGAGAUCUAAACUCUCCCAGAAGAUGCAAGUACUUCCAA
rnacentral:misc_RNA from 1 species